AGGAAUCCUCCCAACACCCAGACCCUUACUGAGUAACUCCUAUGGUUCCUCAUUGGGUCCUUUACUAUCAUACUUCCGCGGACCACUUCCUCCGCACCCCUUCUUGGCUCCAGCCGACCUCUACUGGAGUAACACGCCACACCCCUUGCCUGCCCCUAGCGGAGAAGCAACGACUCCUCCGAUUGGUAGCUUUGAGAGAAGGAACUGGGCAUGCGUGGCCCAACCCUCACGCCUGUAGAGGCUGUCUGGACUCCUCUAUGCCUGUAAGAUAUUCUCACUCUAAACCAGGGGCAAGAACAGAACAUCAGAAGUUGUUGGACCUCAGCCCAUUGUUGGCCUCAGCAGAUUUCUUUAAGACUGUCACAUUGCCUAAGGAAAAUGCAAUAUAUAGAAAGGCUCAGCAGAAAUCACACCCCUAACAGCUCUUCCUCUCUUUGGCAAUUCCUUGAAAUCCUAAAAAAAUGUUCUUUGAAAAUAAGGGACGGACUGAUAUAAAUAAGACCUCUAAUCUUGUUUGUUUAGGAGGAUGUUCAGGAAAGAGGUAAAGUGCAAAGGCAUCGCAAGGGUCAACAGUUGAUGUUUACACUAGACAUUUCCUUUUCUUUCUUGUUUGUGGCUUCAGUCUGGGGAAAGAAAUUCUUGGAAAUGAAUGUAACUCUAUUUCAUCACAUUGGACUAGAACUUCAAGGAGGUACCAAUACUGUUUCACCCAUUGCCUGAGAGGCCAAGGAGGAAAAGAAAAAAAGGAGUCAGACUCCCACAAAACAAUAAGAAAAAAAAAACCCAGAAGAAAAAUGGCUAAAGGCUAUGACCAAACCAUUCACAGAAGAACCUGAACAUUCAACAAACAGUGGAAAGAGGCUCAACUACACAAGCAAUCAGGGAAAUGCAAAGUAAAAUGAAAACAGAUGCCAUUUCUUGCCCAUCAGGGUGGCAAUUAAAGUAUGAUAAUAUCAAUAUUGGCAGGUGAAUAGACAAAUGAGACUCUUAGUCACAACUUCAAAUUGAUAUAUACUGGCACAGCAUUUUAAAGGGUAGUUUCAUGCGAUCCAUUAAAAUUUGAAAUGUGCAUAUCCCAUAAUCCAGCAGUAAUACUUCUUGGUGUUCACUGCAGCAAGACUCACAUGGUUCCAAUUAAAUAGGUUUGUUUCAUGUAAUUUGUAACAAUGAAAAUAACCUAAAUGUCCAUUGACCAGGGAAUGGCUAAAUAACUAUGAUAUAUCUACAGUAUCUUAAAUUACGCCAGAGUUAUAAG
rnacentral:lncRNA from 1 species